rnacentral:rRNA from 1 species
AGGCUUAACACAUGCAAGUCGAGGGGUAGAGGAAGCUUGCUUCCUUGAAGACCGGCGCACGGGUGCGUAAACGCGUAUACAAUCUACCUUUACAGAGGGAUAGCCAGAGAAUUUGGAUUAAUACCUCAUAGUGUUUUCGGAUCGCAUGAUUUGAUUAUUAAAGUUCCAACGGUAAAAGAUGAGUAUGCGUCCCAUUAGCUAGAUGGUAAGGUAACGGCUUACCAUGGCAAUGAUGGGUAGGGGUCCUGAGAGGGAGAUCCCCCACACUGGUACUGAGACACGGACCAGACUCCUACGGGAGGCAGCAGUGAGGAAUAUUGGACAAUGGGCGCAAGCCUGAUCCAGCCAUGCCGCGUGCAGGAAUAAGGUCCUAUGGAUUGUAAACUGCUUUUAUACAGGAAGAAACACACCCUCGUGAGGGUACUUGACGGUACUGUAUGAAUAAGGACCGGCUAACUCCGUG